rnacentral:rRNA from 1 species
AUUGAACGCUGGCGGCAUGCCUUACACAUGCAAGUCGAACGGCAGCACGGGUGCUUGCCCCUGGUGGCGAGUGGCGAACGGGUGAGUAAUACAUCGGAACAUGUCCUGGAGGGGGGGAUAGCCCGGCGAAAGCCGGAUUAAUACCGCAUACGAUCUACGGAUGAAAGCGGGGGACCUUCGGGCCUCGCGCUAAAGGGUUGGCCGAUGGCUGAUUAGCUAGUUGGUGGGGUAAAGGCCUACCAAGGCGACGAUCAGUAGCUGGUCUGAGAGGACGACCAGCCACACUGGGACUGAGACACGGCCCAGACUCCUACGGGAGGCAGCAGUGGGGAAUUUUGGACAAUGGGCGCAAGCCUGAUCCAGCAAUGCCGCGUGUGUGAAGAAGGCCUUCGGGUUGUAAAGCACUUUUGUCCGGAAAGAAAUCCUUGGCCCUAAUACGGUCGGGGGAUGACGGUACCGGAAGAAAAAGCACCGGCUAACUACGUG